rnacentral:rRNA from 1 species
UACCAGCACCCCGAGUGGGCGGGACGAUUAUUGGGUCUAAAGCUUCCGUAGCCGGUCCUACAAGUCUUCCGUUAAAUCCACCUGCUCAACAGAUGGGCUGCUGAAGAUACUAUAGGGCUAGGAGGCGGGAGAGGCAAGCGGUACUCAGUGGGUAGGGGUAAAAUCCUCUGAUCCAUUGAAGACCACCAGUGGCGAAGGCGGUUUGCCAGAACGCGCUCGACGGUGAGGGAUGAAAGCUGGGGGAGCAAACCGG